CUUAUCCCAUUUUCUUUUUGCCCUACUCGCAAUCGCAUUCCCGCAUCGGCGCAUCUCCCAGACUCCCACUGAAGUGAAGAAGCUCCUCAGGCAUUCAAUCGAUCGCACAGUCGCACACAUCUGAGGCUCCGAGCCUCCAACGAGACCGGAGCCCAAACCUCCGGCGCCAUCAACGAGACCUGCAACUCCUCUGUAUCGUCAAAUACGAUGGAAAGGUCUCAACUAGAUGCACAAACUGUUGAUGUUGAUGCUCCCCAAACCGUUGAUAUUGAUCUUGAUGUAGACGAAGGAGAUGAUGAAGUAGUUGCAGAUAAUAAGGGUGGUGGUCAUAGAGUAUCUUGGGUAUGUCAACAUUUUGAUAGAGAUGUCAUAAAGAAGGGUGCUAAGAAAGUGAAAUGCCCAUAUUGUUCAACAAUGAUGUGUGCAAAUUCAAAGAAAAAUGGUACGAGUGCAAUGGGAAAUCAUUUAAGACUCUAUUGUCCAACAUCUCCUGUUUAUGACCCUAAAGGCAAAGUUGGUGAUACGAAAAAACAAUUUGUGUUGAGUUUCAAAAAAGUGGGAGACUCGGGGGCUACUUCUUUGGAAGUUCAUUCCUUCAGCCAAGAGAAAUGUAGGAAUUCGUUAGCUCGCAGAACAGUAUGAGGCGGCGUUUGAUAGGCUUCUUGUGAUUGUUAGUGGUUUUAAAACUUUUUGUGGAAGUGAGGUUCAUGAUGGUGAAGUGACUACGAGAAAAAGAAGAAGAAAUGAGAAAGUUGUGGGGACUCCCGAUGCCGACGAUUGGGAGGUUGCUAGGUAUUUUAUCGACUAUUUGAUGAUCUUUUACAAUGUCACAAAAAAGAUAUCCGGGUCCAAGUAUGUGACAGCAAAUAUAUUUUUUAAGGAACUUGUGACAAUACAAGCAAGCAUAACUAGAAUGUGUGCAAGCACACACGAGAAAAAGAAAAAGAUGGCAAAGUCGAUGAAAGAAAAAUACGACAAAUAUUGAGACAACAUUGAGAACAUGAACUUCAUGCUUCAUAUUGCUGUCGUUUUAGAUCCCAGCAACAAGAUGUGUUAUUUGGAGUAUUGCUUGGAGUUGAUUUAUGGUAAGAAUUCUACCAAAACAAAAACAAUUUUGGAGCAUGUCAACAAAACACUAGAGGACUUGUUUCAACACUUUAAAAACAAGACGGAGAGAGAAAGAUGUGAAAAGACAAGGAGUGCAUCGUCUUCUACACCUAGUUAUUUUGAUUUUGGGCAUGGAGUUGAUAUGGAAGACGAUUUUGAAAGGUUUAUGGAACAACGCGGGCAUGGGGUUAAUAAAACAGAGCUUGAGAUUUAUUUAUCAGAUGGGAUGGAAAAAUAGGCGGAGGAUUUCUAGAUUUUUGGGUGGUGGAAAUCUAAUUCAACAAAGUUUCCUGUACUUUCUGAAGUGGCGAAACUUGUUUUAGGAAUGCAAAUCUCCACAGUUGCAUCAGAGUCGGCAUUCAGUACUGGCGGGAGGGUGAUUGAUGAAAGUAGAAGCUCCCUUACACAUGUGACUGCCGAAGCUUUGAUUUGCGCACAAGAUUGGAUACGGGACACCCCAAUUGAUAUCCAGUUUAAAAAUAUGACGACUUUAUAUAUGGAAGAGACGCGAGAGAAGUUGGUGCCAAUAGAAACCGAGGAAUUGAGGUGUGGUCAAGGGAGUUGCAUGGAUGAGGAUUUCACUUGAAUUUUAAAGAUGAAUGGGGAAGUGGUGAAGAGAUUUACAUGGAUGUUGAUUGAAGAUUCGUGUUUGCGUGUUUUGGACUUUUGGUUGUAAUCGACUAUUUGACUAUUUCGGACUUUGUGUUUUAGUGAUUGCGUGUUUUGUUGUAAUCGUCUAAUCAACAAUUUCGGACUUUGUGCUUUACUUUGAUUGUGUGUUUGGUUGUAAUAGACAAUUUGGUUGUAAAACUCAUGUUUUUUGAAGUAUUUAACUUCAAUUA